CUCAGAGCCAUAUUUCACCUGGUUUCCCGCUGAAGAUAAGCAGGGUUGAGUCUGCUCAGUACCUGGAUGGGAGACCUCCUGGGGAAAACUAAGGUUGCUGCUGGAA
rnacentral:rRNA from 1 species